rnacentral:lncRNA from 1 species
CUACGCGUCCAGAGUGAAACUGAUCACUAACGAUGCUUCGAAGAACGCAGAAAAUAAAGAAAUUGUCCGACUAAAAGGAGUAAGUGAAUUCGCCCAUAGCACACGCCCUUGUUCUUCGUUAGGUUGAAUAUUUCUCAAUAGACAACUUACAUGUUAGACUAAUUUUUUAUCUAGGCAAAAAAAGUAAAUUCCCGUAAAGAACUUAUUAAAAUUAGUAAAAUUGCAAAAUUUGGUUGCAAAAUACGGAAAAUAUAGCCUUGCGAAGUUUGCAUAUUUUGUAUAUGUUUGUAUUACGUGCGGAAAUUGUUACCAUUUUUGAGCCGAAAAUGGUAACAAUUUUCGAGCGUAAUACAAACAUAUACAAAAUUUGCAAUCUUUGCAAGUCUAUAUUUUCCAAGCUUUACAACAUUUCGCAAGCAAAUUUUGCAAUUAUACUAAUUUCAUUAUGUUCUUUUUAGCUGUGGUGUUUGAUUCCCUUCUCUUUACUUAGAUUAAAAUUUAGUCUUUCAUGCAAGUUGUCCAUUUUACUGAUUCAUUUUUGCUUGAUCUGCAACAGCUAUUCUUUAAAUCCUUUUCACCUUUUUCUUGCAGAUCAUCGCAAAACUAAAGCAAGGCGAAAGUGUCGAUGAUGAAGAACAAUAAGCACUUUUAUUAUUUAUUUAUUCCACUGUAUAGGUAAACUUGAAUUUUUGUUGAAAAUAGUUUUAAGCACACGUCCGCUGUCGAACUGCUGGACAGUUCAAUGUCAUUGUAAAUAAUUGUACGAUUAUGAGGCUGUCGAAACUUUUUUAAAACAUCGUCAAGAUUUUCUAAUGGCUGUUAUUCGCUUUUUAUAAGGCCAAGUAGAGACGCAUCUGCUGAAGAGGUGAGGAUGUCAGCGGAGGGGGCUAGCGCCAUGAAAACUGGAAAGUCUGAUAUUUAACUUCUUG